rnacentral:rRNA from 1 species
GGGGGGGGGGGGGGGGGGGGGGGGGGGGGGGGGGGGGGGCGGGGGGGGGGGGGGUGCUCGUGGGGGGGGCGGGGGACGGGUGGGGAGUGCCUGGGAGGCCGCCGGGUCGUGGGGGGUAACGUCCGGGAACGGGCGCCCAUACCGCAUACGUCCGGAGGGCGCAAGGGGGGGGUCUUCGGACCUCCCGCCAUCAGCUGACCCUAGGUCGGAUUCGCGAGUUGGUGGGGUAACGGCCUACCAAGGCGACGAUCCGUCCCUGGUCUGAGAGGAUGACCAGUCACACUGGAACUGAGACACGGUCCAGACUCCUACGGGAGGGAGCAGGGGGGAACAUUGGACAAUGGGCGAAAGCCUGAACCAGCCAUGCCGCGUGUGUGAAGAAGGUCUGCGGAUUGGAAAGCACUUUAAGUUGGGAGGAAGGGCAGUAAGUGAAUACCUUGCUGUUUUGACGUUGCCAACAGAGUAAGGACCGGCUAACUUCGUG